rnacentral:rRNA from 1 species
CCUAUAAGACUGGGAUAACUUCGGGAAACCGGAGCUAAUACCGGAUAACAUUUAGAACCGCAUGGUUCUAAAGUGAAAGAUGGUUUUGCUAUCACUUAUAGAUGGACCCGCGCCGUAUUAGCUAGUUGGUAAGGUAACGGCUUACCAAGGCGACGAUACGUAGCCGACCUGAGAGGGUGAUCGGCCACACUGGAACUGAGACACGGUCCAGACUCCUACGGGAGGCAGCAGUAGGGAAUCUUCCGCAAUGGGCGAAAGCCUGACGGAGCAACGCCGCGUGAGUGAUGAAGGGUUUCGGCUCGUAAAACUCUGUUAUUAGGGAAGAACAAAUGUGUAAGUAACUGUGCACAUCUUGACGGUACCUAAUCAGAAAGCCACGGCUAACUACGUGCCAGCAGCCGCGGUAAUACGUAGGUGGCAAGCGUUAUCCGGAAUUAUUGGGCGUAAAGCGCGCGUAGGCGGUUUCUUAAGUCUGAUGUGAAAGCCCACGGCUCAACCGUGGAGGGUCAUUGGAAACUGGGAAACUUGAGUGCAGAAGAGGAAAGUGGAAUUCCAUGUGUAGCGGUGAAAUGCGCAGAGAUAUGGAGGAACACCAGUGGCGAAGGCGCCUUUCUGGUCUGUAACUAACGCUGAUGUGCGAAAGCGUGGGGAUCAAACAGGAUUAGAUACCCUGGUAGUCCACGCCGUAAACGAUGAGUGCUAAGUGUUAGGGGGUUUCCGCCCCUUAGUGCUGCAG